rnacentral:rRNA from 1 species
GGAAUAUUGCACAAUGGGGGAAACCCUGAUGCAGCAACGCCGCGUGAAGGAAGACGGUUUUCGGAUUGUAAACUUCUUUUCUUAGUGAAGAAGAAAGUGACGGUAGCUAAGGAAUAAGCAUCGGCUAACUACGUGCCAGCAGCCGCGGUAAUACGUAGGAUGCGAGCGUUAUCCGGAAUGACUGGGUGUAAAGGGAGCGCAGGCGGGGCUGCAAGUUGGAUGUGAAAUGCCGCAGCUUAACUGGGGAGCUGCAUCCAAAACUGUAGUUCGUGAGUGGGGGAGAGGCAAGCGGAAUUCCGAGUGUAGCGGUGAAAUGCGUAGAUAUUCGGAGGAACACCAGUGGCGAAGGCGGCUUGCUGGGCUCUAACUGACGCUGAGGCUAGAAAGUGUGGGGAGCAAAC